AGCCUGAACGCUGGCGGCGUGGCUAAGACAUGCAAGUCGUACGGUGUAGCAAUACACAGUGGCGAACGGGAGAGUAAUGAAUCGCUAAUGUGCCCCGGACUCUGAGAUAGCCAUCCGAAAGGGUGGGUAAUAUCAGAUGACAUAUCUCUGUCGCAUGAUAGAGAUCUCAAAGGUCCGCCGGUCUGGGAGCAGGCGAUUUCGUAUCAGCUAGUUGGUGAGGUAACGGCCCACCAAGGCGACGACGGGUA
rnacentral:rRNA from 1 species